GCCAGAGGCUGCAGGCAAUUGUCCCCCUCCUGUCACCUGGAGUCACCUGGAAGGUGCCCCUUAUCAGAGGCCAGACAUGGGGAACCUGUGGUCUCCCAGAGUGACCUUGUGAUGGAGAAUCCUGGGAUUCUAAGGAAUAGUUGCAUACCUCAGUUUCUUCCAGUUAAACUGGGGUCUAGGCAAGGACUCUGGCCACGGAGAGUCACCUCUUCUCCAUUUGUCUCUGUUGCAGCAGGAGUAACUAUGACCUGGACUACAAGCUGUACAGGGAAGAUGUCCCCUACAGGUCGGUUUCUGAAGGCCUCCCGGAAGUGACUGUGCAACCAGAGGCACCCAUUCUGGAAUGAGUGCGGUGAAAGUGGAGGCAAGGCUCAGCCAGACCAGCCAGGAGGCCUCCCCAUAACGGUGGCUUUUUC
rnacentral:lncRNA from 1 species